CCUACGGGCGGCAGCAGUGGGGAAUAUUGGACAAUGGGGGCAACCCUGAUCCAGCCAUGCCGCGUGUGUGAAGAAGGCCCUCGGGUUGUAAAGCACUUUCAGUGAGGAAGAACGCCUGGUGGUUAAUACCCAUCAGGAAAGACAUCACUCACAGAAGAAGCACCGGCUAAUUCCGUGCCAGCAGCCGCGGUAAUACGGAGGGUGCGAGCGUUAAUCGGAAUUACUGGGCGUAAAGCGCGCGUAGGUGGCUUGAUAAGCCGGUUGUGAAAGCCCCGGGCUCAACCUGGGAACGGCAUCCGGAACUGUCAAGCUAGAGUGCAGGAGAGGAAGGUAGAAUUCCCGGUGUAGCGGUGAAAUGCGUAGAGAUCGGGAGGAAUACCAGUGGCGAAGGCGGCCUUCUGGACUGACACUGACACUGAGGUGCGAAAGCGUGGGUAGCAAACAGGAUUAGAUACCCCGGUAGUC
rnacentral:rRNA from 1 species